GUUCACCCUCACAACAUCCCAAGCCCUUCAGUACCUGCAGAAGAUGAGCCUCCUGUUUUUUAUGGAAAACAGGGGCCUGUCUCUCGUUUCACCUAAUUAAAACACCCACAGGUGUGGAGGGGCAACCCACCCCUUCACUUGGACAUCAGACUCCAGGUUCUUCUGCCUUUGGACUCUGGGACUUGCACCAGCAGCUUCCCCGAGGCUCUCAGGCCCUGAGCCUGAGACUGAAGUUUGCACUGUGGGCUUCCCUGGUUUUGAGGCUUUUGGACUUGGACUGAGCCACCACCAGCUUCUCUCUUUCCCCAGCUUGCAGACAGCCUAUUGUGGGACUUUGCCUUGUAAUCCUGUGAACCGAUUCUCUCUAAUAAACUCCCUUUUUCAUA